rnacentral:rRNA from 1 species
GACGAACGCUGGCGGCGUGCCUAACACAUGCAAGUCGAGCGAAGAAUACAUAAAGAAAUCUUCGGAUGGAAUUAUGUAUUUCUUAGCGGCGGACGGGUGAGUAACGCGUGAGGAACCUGCCUUGUACUAGGGGAUAGCCUCGGGAAACCGGGAUUAAUACCCUAUGACACUUGAAAGUCGCACGACUUUCAAGUCAAAGCGAUUUAGCGGUACAAGAUGGCCUCGCGUCCCAUUAGCUAGUUGGCGAGGUAAUAGCUCACCAAGGCGACGAUGGGUAGCCGGCCUGAGAGGGUGAACGGCCACACUGGAACUGAGACACGGUCCAGACUCCUACGGGAGGCAGCAGUGGGGAAUAUUGCACAAUGGAGGAAACUCUGAUGCAGCGACGCCGCGUGAGCGAUGAAGGUUUUCGAAUCGUAAAGCUCUGUCCUAAGGGACGAUAAUGACGGUACCUUAGGAGGAAGCCCCGGCUAACUACGUGCCAGCAGCCGCGGUAAAAGUC